rnacentral:rRNA from 1 species
GGUGAACGCUGGCGGUAGGCCUAACACAUGCAAGUCGAACGGCAGCACAGUAAGAGCUUGCUCUUACGGGUGGCGAGUGGCGGACGGGUGAGGAAUACAUCGGAAUCUACUUUUUCGUGGGGGAUAACGUAGGGAAACUUACGCUAAUACCGCAUACGACCUACGGGUGAAAGCAGGGGAUCUUCGGACCUUGCGCGAUUGAAUGAGCCGAUGUCGGAUUAGCUAGUUGGCGGGGUAAAGGCCCACCAAGGCGACGAUCCGUAGCUGGUCUGAGAGGAUGAUCAGCCACACUGGAACUGAGACACGGUCCAGACUCCUACGGGAGGCAGCAGUGGGGAAUAUUGGACAAUGGGCGCAAGCCUGAUCCAGCUAUACCGCGUGGGUGAAGAAGGCCUUCGGGUUGUAAAGCCCUUUUGUUGGGAAAGAAAAGCAGCAGGUUAAUACCCCGCUGUUCUGACGGUACCCAAAGAAUAAGCACCGGCUAACUUCGUG